UACGUGGGGGGCAAGCGUUGUUCGGAAUUACUGGGCGUAAAGCGCGCGUAGGCGGUCUGACAAGUCAGAUGUGAAAGCCCCGGGCUCAACUUGGGAACUGCAUUUGAUACUGUCAGACUAGAGUACAGAAGAGGUGACUGGAAUUCCCAGUGUAGCGGUGAAAUGCGUAGAUAUUGGGAGGAACACCAGAUGCGAAGGCGGGUCACUGGGCUGAUACUGACGCUGAAGUGCGAAAGCCAGGGGAGCGAACGGG
rnacentral:rRNA from 1 species